rnacentral:lncRNA from 1 species
GGUGCCCAGAGGCUGGGUUCCUCACACCCAGCAGCACGCCCCGCCAACAUGACCUCCCAUCUCUAUGCCCUCUGCAGGGACGCACUGCUGGCCUGAAGGGGUUCGAGGGAAGGCCACCUCGCGACUGCCUCUGCAGCAGAACCCCCGGGGGCUGCUGUGUCCUCUCAGCAUAUCUAGAGAAACACUCAGGAGGAUUCUUAAUGACUUCAGUGGGAUGUGUUUGCGGUUUACCUUCAAAGUCGUGGCCGCCCUUUAUUGAACAAACGCCUGAGUCAGAAGCUCCACUGAGCGACCCAACGCAUUCGCUCUACUGGGCCGGCUGAUCAUCUGCAAUCAUCACGCUGUUUCCAGAGGAGGAAACUGAGGCACAUGAGGCGUAAGCAACAUGCUCAAGGAGUCACAGAGAGAAAGUGGCAGAGAGGGGAUCAAACGCUGGGAUUCAGAGGCGGCGCCGCUCCCACAGCUGCCUCGGGGACGGCAUUCUGGGCCUGAGCCGGGCCCUGGGGCCGGGCAUCCUGGCUGAGGGGCCUGGAAAGACCCUACAGUGUCUGCCACGGCCUCCUGCUGGGCCCACACAGAGCCCAGGUGAUGCCCGGCACCGCUGGUCCUGUCCUUCCCCCACAGCUGCCCACCACGGCCCUGCCCUUCCCUGAGCCUGCCCCUCCCUGAGCCUGCCCCUCCCUGAGCCUGCCCUUGUGGUUGUGGACCGAUCAAAGCCCCCAUGGCUCCCCGCCACCCCCCUUCCUGGGAGGUGACCGAUACCAGAGAUUAGCUGCCUAAACAAUUAAAAAUCCUGUUUACCGGCAACUGGGACUAUUUCAGGUUUCACCUUUCAGCCAGUCAAUGCCCAGUCCGUGCGGUCAAUAGCAGGCUGUCUGUCUGGUGCCCAGGAAGCGAGGCUGGUAGGACCCACCAUGGGGGCUUCUGGGAGGGGACAGUGGGGCUGUGUCCGAGAGGGUCGGGGGCAGUGCUGGGCCCUGGGAGCCCUGGCAGGGAACCCCUUCGGGGCAGAGUCUGGGGGCUGCCUGGGGGCUCUGUCCUCAUGGGGAGUCACCAGGUGGCACUGCCUGCUGGCCCUGAGCCCUCCAUGCCACUCUUUCCUCCUCUCCAAAUGGCAAAAAAACAAAACAAAACAAAAAAACAGAAACAGCUCACGGGUUUGUUGGAAGAUGC